rnacentral:pre_miRNA from 1 species
GUGCAUUGUAGUUGCAUUGCAUGUGCACAAAGGAAGUGCAAUGUAACAGCAGUGCAGCU